CUCCCUCCUCUUCCUCCCGCUCCCGCCGCGGCUGCUCCCAGCUCCCCCCCGCAGCGGCCCCCGGGCGCUCCCCCGGCUCACACCCCGCGAUCUCCGAUCCGGGCUGCACAUGCAAUUGGCUGAGCAAGGAAAGGCACUGCCCGGCCGCCGGCCAUCGCCCAGCCGGGAAAUGAGCGCGAUGGGCGGCCGCGGAGCCCUGCCCGGCCCUGCCGAUUCCCUGCCGGAGCCUGGAGCCGAGCCCGGGAUCGGGACACCUGGCCGAGGAGGAUGGUUUUAAGUGUGAUUUGGCAUCCACAAGGGAAAUUUCACUUCGGAGUGUUAAAACUGACUUUUCUGCUCCAAGAAGUCUGGUGAUGCUGUCGGUGAGACGGGGAUGGGGAGAGGGCUGGAGGGCAACAUCUCUGUGUCCCCAGAGAUUAUCUCAGAUAUGAAACAACCGUCUCUCAAGUUUGUCUGGAGGGCCUGAUUUAUCUUUCUGGUGCCAUUAAUAAUGGAACAAAACCACAUUAACGAUUGCAUCAACAGCCAGAUAGGAGCCAGAAAGCUCCUUUUGCUCUCUAAUAUGCUGCAUGAGUACACUGAAGUGCUUUAUACAGAGAGUAUUUUGCUUUUUUUUUUUUCUCACCCUUUUGCAUUGAUGUCUUUUUUGGACUUGAUAAACUGCUUGACCUUGUUUUUGCUGAAGAAAAGAUAAAAACCACUGGAGUUAAAUAUUCAAUGAGAUUACAGACCUGAGAUAGCCCUUUAGAGCUAAUAUCAUUCUGCAAGAAACCUGAAGAAAUGUUAACAGCGACUGCAGGACGUUACAUCUGCCUGGUUAGAUGAGCUGCAGAGGCUACCCACCAUUGGUUUUGGCUGAUGAUGUGGUGAGCUGGCAAAAGACAGCAGGAGAGAGCUGCAGGCUUUCAAACCAGCAAAGGAAUGAGCACCUGGCGCAGGAGUAGUCAAAAAAUAGGUAACAUUAUGCUGGCCCCUCCUCUUUCACUUGAGGUUAGUCAUCUGGGUUUAGUUUAUUCUGAUCUUCUGGAAGUGAGAAGAACAUUUGUUGUGAGGUCUUGGUGUAUAAAAACAUUCCUUCCAUUUGUAUAAGAUGAAAAAGGAUUUUUCAGCAUCUGAAGUAGAACCUGGUCAAAUCUGCCUUUGCAUGUCAGUGGUUUCUUUUUACCUUUUGUUUUUUUCUGCAGAAGCAUGGUACAAAAAGCCCCUUUCUUACCUCAAAUCAAUCAAUAGCUGUAUGAAGAAAGACAACGGGCAGUUCUGGUCUGUCAACAUUCAGCCACUUUUUAAGCUAUCUAGACUGCCUAUAUCUUCUUGUGGGUUUGGCCUGUGGGUUUGCAGGUUAGGGAAAUAGAAAGAAAAAAUCAAAUGAUGGUGCAGAAAUGUUUAUCUGAAAAUGCACAGAUGUUUAGUAGAAGGGAGACAUUUGGAGACAGCUUUUGUGAAGUGGGAGGUGCUCAAAGCACACCUUUGAGUGGGGAUGGCUGACAUUCGCCCAUGGGAUGCUGUAGUGGCAGUGAAUAUCUUCCAAGACAAUACAUCCUUCCUCUGUAUUCAUAAAGAGUGGAAUAUCCCCAUGUUCUUUCAAUGGGAAACCAAAGCACAAAGUUGUUUUUUUUUCCCUAGGAAGUUUAUAUCAAAACAGACAAAAUAAAUCCUCACUAUCUUCAGUCUCUAAAGUGGUCUUUAUCCUGCCUCUCUGAUCAACCUGCUCUAGUAUUUCGCCACCUUCACUGUAAAAAGUUUCUUCCUUAUAUCAAAUCCAAAUUGAAUCUCCUCCAAUUUAAAUUAACCAGUACUCCCUUUUCCUUUCACUACAGCUUUCCUCACUCUAUCUUUACGCACCUGAGCAGUGUCCUUACACUCUUCCAGGAUAUCUGUUCCUGCUCCACUGCCUGUGCAUUUUCUUCUUGCCCUUUAGUUUCUCUAGCAGAUCUUGACUCAGAUGUGAUGGUCUCUUGUCUUCCUUUUCUUAUAGAUUUCUUAUCUUCAUAUUUUCUUUAAGAUUUCUUAUACCUGGGGAUUGAGAGCUUUUAUGCUCUAUGAAAAAUGUCCUUUAAUGUCUCUCAUCUCUCUUCUGCUCCCUUGCCAGUGAGGGCAUUUUUCCAUGGGGGUUUAUUGACUAACUCUUUGAAGGAAUGGAAGGGUUUUUUCCCCUAAAAUUCAGGGCCCUGAUUUUAUUCUUCGCAUGACCUUUAUUCCUCAGGAUGUGAACUCCACUAGUGCAUUAUCACUGCAGCCCAGGCUGCCUCCAAUCUUGAUGUCACUGUUUAACUCAACUUGUGUUGUGGUGGUAAAAAUAAAGUAAAAUAAUAAUGAAAUUCCAAGUAAAUAAAAUAAUUAUGUUCCACUUUGGA